CCUAGGCAUUCUGACAGUCAGCUAGCUGCAGGAGGUUAGAACACCUAGGCAUUCUGACAGUCAGCUAGCUGCAGGAGGUUAGAACACCGAGGCAUUCUGACAGUCAGCUAGCUGCAGGAGGUUAGAACACCGAGGCAUUCUGACAGUCAGCUAGCUGCAGGAGGUUAGAACACCUAGGCAUUCUGACAGUCAGCUAGCUGCAGGAGGUUAGAACACCUAGGCAUUCUGACAGUCAGCUAGCUGCAGGAGGUUAGAACACCGAGGCAUUCUGACAGUCAGCUAGCUGCAGGAGGUUAGAACACCUAGGCAUUCUGACGGUCAGCUAACACCUAGGCAUUCUGACGGUCAGCUAGCUGCAGGAGGUUAGUACACCUAGGCAUUCUGACGGUCAGCUAGCUGCAGGAGGUUAGAACACCUAGGCAUUCUGACGGUCAGCUAGCUGCAGGAGGUUAGAACACUUAGGCAUUCUGACGGUCAGCUAGCUGCAGGAGGUUAGAACACCUAGGCAUUCUGACGGUCAGCUAGCUGCAGGAGGUUAGAACACUUAGGCAUUCUGACGGUCAGCUAGCUGCAGGAGGUUAGAACACCUAGGCAUUCUGACGGUCAGCUAGCUGCAGGAGGUUUAGAACCCCUAGGCAUUCUGACGGUCAGCUAGCUGCAGGAGGUUAGAACACCUAGGCAUUCUGACGGUCAGCUAGCUGCAGGAGGUUUAGAACCCCUAGGCAUUCUGACGGUCAGCUAGCUGCAGGAGGUUAGAACCCCUAGGCAUUCUGACGGUCAGCUAGCUGCAGGAGGUUUAGAACCCCUAGGCAUUCUGACGGUCAGCUAGCUGCAGGAGGUUAGAACCCCUAGGCAUUCUGACGGUCAGCUAGCUGCAGGAGGUUAGAACACCAAGGCAUUCUGACGGUCAGCUAGCUGCAGGAGGUUAGAACACCAAGGCAUUCUGACGGUCAGCUAGCUGCAGGAGGUUAGAACACCGAGGCAUUCUGACGGUCAGCUAGCUGCAGGAGGUUAGAACACCUAGGCAUUCUGACGGUCAGCUAGCUGCAGGAGGUUAGAACACCUAGGCAUUCUGACGGUCAGCUAGCUGCAGGAGGUUAAAACACCUAGGCAUUCUGACGGUCAGCUAGCUGCAGGAGG